GUGCUUACUUGGCAGCACAUAUACUAAAAUUGGAAUGACAUAGAAAAGAAUACAAGGAUGACAUGCAAAUUCGUGAAGCAUUCCAUAUUAAA
rnacentral:snRNA from 1 species